UACGUAGGGUGCAAGCGUUGUCCGGAAUUAUUGGGCGUAAAGAGCUCGUAGGCGGUCUGUCGCGUCGGAUGUGAAAAUCCAGGGCUCAACCCUGGACCUGCAUUCGAUACGGGCAGACUAGAGUUCGGUAGGGGAGACUGGAAUUCCUGGUGGAGCGGUGAAAUGCGCAGAUAUCAGGAGGAACACCCGUAGCGAAGGCGGCACUCUGGGCCGGAACUGACGCUGAGGAGCGAAAGCGUGGGGAGCGAACAGG
rnacentral:rRNA from 1 species